AUCGGAGAUGCCCACCCUGGUCUUCCCCUUCGGCCCAGACUCAGCCCCACACCACCCCUCCCUGCACUGAGGAACAGACUGAGGCCAGAUCCUCUCCGCUGGGCAGUGACACCCUUGCCGGCGUCCUCACCCCCGCCCCACCCCGAUGACUCAGGCUAUGUGAGUCAAGGAUGGAACGAUGUUCCCAGAACAUCCCAGGAGGGUGUGACAGCCUCCAUCUAGAAGGUUCUAUCCUCAGG